rnacentral:tRNA from 1 species
CAGGGAGACAAAAUCAGAUUGUGAUGUCUAAAUUAUUUAUUUUUAGGCCAUAAUCCUGUCACCUUAGGUCGAUCGGUACCUCAGUUUAAUAUCAAUGAACUAAGUAAUUUAGUUCUUCCAGUUAUUAAAUUCAGUUCCUAAACUUUGUCUAGGUCACACCCCAAAAGGGAUGAGACUCCUGGGCCAUUAGCUCAGGUGGUUAGAGCGCACCCCUGAUAAGGGUGAGGUCCCUGGUUCAAGUCCAGGAUGGCCCAUUCGGUGUUGGGGGUUUAGCUCAGUUGGUAGAGCGCCUGCUUUGCAAGCAGGAUGUCAGGAGUUCGAGUCUCCUAACCUCCACUGACCGAACUUGAUUCCCAUCUCCAAUUCUUUUGGAGUUGAGCUCGAUUGGAGUGUGAUUUAGAUUUGUCCGCUGGAUGACCCCAGCUUCCUGUCAUUCCAAGUUUUAGGUUGAUGCCUUGAAUUUGGUUGAUAAGAUGCUGGGCUCGGAUCAAAUGAUCAAGCAAUUGGUGAUUUGAUUUGAAGUUCUAGCAGAACCUUGACAACUGCAUAGGUGAGUCUGGAAAAAACAAAGCAUCUUACAGAUGCAUUGUUUUGAAUCUGAUCUUCUGAAAGGGAGAUUGGAUCUAGAACAAUGAAAAUUCUUUUGAGCAAGAGCCGAGACUUUUGAACGUUCUUUGAUUGGUGUCGAGCCAAUCAGAGUUUGAUCUUGUUUUUAGCAAUAAAAACUUGAGAAUCUGCUUUCAACGGCGGUAAGCGUUCAGGAGGUUAAUU